rnacentral:rRNA from 1 species
AGCAGCCGCGGUAAUUCCAGCUCCAAUAGCGUAUAUUAAAGUUGUUGCAGUUAAAAAGCUCGUAGUUGAAUUUCGGGAUCAAUAUACCGGUCGUGCCUUGGUAUGUACUGGUAUCAUUGGUUUCUCCUUUCUGACGAACCAUGAUGUCAUUUAUUUGGUGUUGUGGGGAAUCAGGACUGUUACUUUGAAAAAAUUAGAGUGUUUAAAGCGGGCUCACGCUUGAAUACAUUAGCAUGGAAUAAUGAAAUAGGACGUUUGAUUCUAUUUUGUUGGUUUCUAGGAUCGACGUAAUGAUUAAUAGGGAUAGUUGGGGGCAUUAGUAUUCAAUUGUCAGAGGUGAAAUUCUUGGAUUUAUUGAAGACUAACUACUGCGAAAGCAUUUGCCAAGGAUGUUUUCAUUAAUCAAGAACGAAAGUUAG